rnacentral:rRNA from 1 species
CCUACGGGAGGCAGCAGUGGGGAAUAUUGGGCAAUGGAGGAAACUCUGACCCAGCGACGCCGCGUGCGGGAUGAAGGCCUUCGGGUUGUAAACCGCUUUCAGUAGGGAAGAAGCGAAAGUGACGGUACCUACAAAAGAAGCACCGGCUAACUAUGUGCCAGCAGCCGCGGUAAUACAUAGGGUGCAAGCGUUGUCCGGAAUUAUUGGGCGUAAAGAGCUCGUAGGUCGUUUGUUACGUCGGAUGUGAAAACCUGAGGCUCAACCUCAGGCCUGCAUUCGAUACGGGCAAACUAGAGUUUGGUAGGGGAGACUGGAAUUCCUGGUGUAGCGGUGGAAUGCGCAGAUAUCAGGAGGAACACCAAUGGCGAAGGCAGGUCUCUGGGCCAAUACUGACACCGAGGAGCGAAAGUCUGGGGAGCGAACAGGAUUAGAUACCCUGGUAGUCCAGACCGUAAACGGUGGGCACUAGUUGUGGGAACCUUCCACGGUUUCUGCGACGCAGCUAACGCAUUAAGUGCCCCGCCUGGGGAGUACGAUCGCAAGNUUAAAACUCAAAGGAAUUGACGGCUGAGAGNGCGAGACGACGACGAGGAGAG